rnacentral:rRNA from 1 species
CCUACGGGUGGCAGCAGUAGGGAAUCUUCCACAAUGGGCGAAAGCCUGAUGGAGCAACGCCGCGUGGGUGAAGAAGGUCUUCGGAUCGUAAAACCCUGUUGUUAGAGAAGAAAGUGCGUGAGAGUAACUGUUCACGUUUCGACGGUAUCUAACCAGAAAGCCACGGCUAACUACGGGCCAGCAGCCGCGGUAAUACGUAGGUGGCAAGCGUUAUCCGGAUUUAUUGGGAGUAAAGGGAACGCAGGCGGUCUUUUAAGUCUGAUGUGAAAGCCUACGGGUUAACCGGAGUAGUGCAUUGGAAACUGGGAGACUUGCGGGCAGAAGAGGAGAGUGGAACUACAUGUGUAGCGGUGAAAGGCGUAGAUAUAUGGCAGAACACCAGUGGCGAAAGCGGCUCUCUGGUCUGUAACUGACGCUGAGGUUCGAAAGCGUGGGUAGCAAACAGGAUUAGAUACCCCAGUAGUC